rnacentral:rRNA from 1 species
GCGAACGCUGGCGGCAGGCUUAACACAUGCAAGUCGAGCGCCCCGCAAGGGGAGCGGCCGACGGGAGAGUAACACGUGGGAACAUACCUUUUGGUUCGGAACAACUGAGGGAAACUUCAGCUAAUACCGGAUAAGCCCUUACGGGGAAAGAUUUAUCGCCGAAAGAUUGGCCCGCGUCUGAUUAGCUAGUUGGUGAGGUAACGGCUCACCAAGGCGACGAUCAGUAGCUGGUCUGAGAGGAUGAUCAGCCUCACUGGGACUGAGACACGGCCCAGACUCCUACGGGAGGCAGCAGUGGGGAAUAUUGGACAAUGGGGGCAACCCUGAUCCAGCCAUGCCGCGUGAGUGAUGAAGGCCUUAGGGUUGUAAAGCUCUUUUGCCCGGGAAGAUAAUGACGGUACCGGGAGAAUAAGCCCCGGCUAACUUCGUG